rnacentral:siRNA from 1 species
CAGAUUGCGCCGUGCUGAUUGCG